rnacentral:misc_RNA from 1 species
GAAAAAUCAUAAUUUCAUAGUUUUUUACUUUGAAAAUAUAAUUAAGUUAUAAUUUCAUUAAUGUUACUCCUAUUUGACAGUAUUAAUUGUUUGAGUAGCCCUAGUUAACAUUUGCAUAAAUGUUUCUCAUAUUUACGUAGUUAAUAGGCUAUUCUAAAUUUUAGGCAAGAACAGUGGAAUAUGAUGAAGAUGAGGAUAUUCCCAUUCGAUAUUUGGGAAUUAGCAAUAGUGAAAAAGUGAGUUUAACUUUGUAGUGAACAUGAACAUAGGUUUAUUGGAUUGAAAUUUAUGUUUUAGGGUUUAACUUUUAUGCUGGGAACCACUGGAUUUUUUUAUAAUUUUGUUUUAGUUAAAUUAUUUUAUAGAUUGGAUUUAGCCUCUAUUUAUUUUACAAAAAAUACUUUCUAUAUAUUUUAAAAA